GUUUAUGUAGCUUAAAUCUGCCCAAAGCAAGACACUGAAAAAUGCCUAGAUGGGUCCACACACCCCAUAAACA
rnacentral:tRNA from 1 species